rnacentral:SRP_RNA from 1 species
GCCGGGCGCGGUGGCUCACGCCUGUAAUCCCAGCAACUUGGGAGGCUGAGGCAGGCUGAUCAUCUGAGGUCAGGAGUUCUAGACCAGCCUGACCAACAUGGUGAAACCCCGUCUCUA